rnacentral:miRNA from 1 species
ACACAAGUCCCCUGGGGUCUUAUUAAAAUGCAGAUUCUGAUUCAGUAGGUCUUUGUGGGCUUGAGGUCCUGCAUUUAUCACAAGCUAUCAUGUAAUGUCAAU